rnacentral:rRNA from 1 species
UACAGAGGUGGCAAGCGUUGUUCGGAAUUACUGGGCGUAAAGCGUGCGCAGGCGGUUCGCUAAGACAGAUGUGAAAUCCCCGGGCUUAACCUGGGAACUGCAUUUGUGACUGGCGGGCUAGAGUAUGGGCAGAGGGGGGUAGAGUUCCACGUGUAGCAGUGAAAUGCGUAGAGAUGUGGAGGAAUACCGAUGGCGAAGGCAGCCCCCUGGGCCAAUACUGACGCUCAUGCACGAAAGCGUGGGGAGCAAACAGG